rnacentral:rRNA from 1 species
CCUACGGGUGGCUGCAGUGAGGAAUAUUGGACAAUGGGCGCAAGCCUGAACCAGCCACGUAGCGUGAAGGAUGACUGCCCUACGGGUUGUAAACUUCUUUUAUAAAGGAAUAAGGUGCGGCACGUGUGCCUUUUUGUAUGUACUUUAUGAAUAAGGAUCGGCUAACUCCGUGCCAGCAGCCGCGGUAAUACGGAGGAUCCAAGCGUUAUCCGGAUUUAUUGGGUUUAAAGGGAGCGUAGAUGGGUUGGUAAGUCAGUUGUGAAAGUUUGCGGCUCAACCGUAAAAUUGCAAUUGAUACUGGCAGGCUUGAGUACAGGUGAGGUAGGCGGAAUUCGUGGUGUAGCGGUGAAAUGCUUAGAUAUCACGAAGAACUCCGAUUGCGAAGGCAGCUUACUAAACUGUAACUGACAUUGAUGCUCGAAAGUGUGGGUAUCAAACAGGAUUAGAUACCCUUGUAGUC